rnacentral:rRNA from 1 species
AUUGAACGCUGGCGGCAGGCUUAACACAUGCAAGUCGAGCGAGCGGCGGACGGGUGAGUAAUGUCUGGGGAUCUGCCUGAUGGAGGGGGAUAACUACUGGAAACGGUAGCUAAUACCGCAUACCCUCGGAUGUGCCCAUAUGGUAUUAGCUAGUAGGUGGGGUAAAGGCUCACCUGGGCGACGAUCCCUAGCUGGUCUGAGAGGAUGACCAGCCACACUGGAACUGAGACACGGUCCAGACUCCUACGGGAGGCAGCAGGGGGGAAUAUUGCACAAUGGGCGCAAGCCUGAUGCAGCCAUGCCGCGUGUAUGAAGAAGGCCCUCGGGUUGUAAAGUACUUUCAGCGGGGAGGCGUUACCCGCAGAAGAAGCACCGGCUAAAUCCGUGCCAGCAGCCGCGGUAAUUC